CCCUCGGUAGCUCAGUUGGAAGAGCGUGGGACUGUAAUUGCUUACAUAAUAUCCCGAGGCCAUUGGUUCGAUCCCGAUCUGAGGGA